rnacentral:rRNA from 1 species
CCUACGGGUGGCAGCAGUGGGGAAUAUUGCACAAUGGGGGAAACCCUGAUGCAGCGACGCCGCGUGAGUGAAGGAGUAUUUCGGUAUGUAAAGCUCUAUCAGUAGGGAAGAAGAAAGACGGUACCUGCCUAAGAAACCCCGGCUAACUACGGGCCAGAAGCCGCGGGAAUACGUAGGGGGCAAGCGUUAUCCGGAUUUACUGGGGGUAAAGGGUGUGUAGACGGGUGGGCAAGGCUGAAGUUGAAGUCCGUGGCUCAACCGCGGAACUGCUUUGGAAACUGUUUGUCUGGAGUACUGGAGAGGCAGGCGGAAUUCCUAGUGUAGCGGUGAAAUGCGUAGAUAUUAGGAGGAACACCAGUGGCGAAGGCGGCCUGCUGGACAGAAACUGACGUUGAGGCUCGAAAGCGUGGGGAGCAAACAGGAUUAGAUACCCCUGUAGUC